rnacentral:rRNA from 1 species
GGUGAACGCUGGCGGCGUGCCUAAGACAUGCAAGUCGAGCGGGCCGCGGGGUUUUACUCCGUGGUCAGCGGCGGACGGGUGAGUAACGCGUGGGUGACCUACCCGGAAGAGGGGGACAACCCGGGGAAACUCGGGCUAAUCCCCCAUGUGGACCCGCCCCUUGGGGUGUGUCCAAAGGGCUUUGCCCGCUUCCGGAUGGGCCCGCGUCCCAUCAGCUAGUUGGUGGGGUAAUGGCCCACCAAGGCGACGACGGGUAGCCGGCCUGAGAGGGUGGCCGGCCACAUGGGCACUGAGACACGGGCCCCACUCCUACGGGAGGCAGCAGUGAGGAAUCUUCCGCAAUGGGCGCAAGCCUGACGGAGCGACGCCGCUUGGAGGAAGAAGCCCUUCGGGGUGUAAACUCCUGAACCCGGGACGAAACCCCCGACGAGGGGACUGACGGUACCGGGGUAAUAGCGCCGGCCAACUCCGUG